GUGGCUUCCAAAAGACAAAAGUGAUCGCUGCUCCCAGAGAAACAGAGAGAGCCCGAAGCUUCCUGGGAAGGGAGGACGACCUAGAGACAGAACAAGCAAUAAAGCCUCAUGGACAUCUGCAUCUAUUUGCCAGAUCUCUCCAGAGACUGUAUGCGGUUACCGGCAAGAAGCAGCAAGUAUAGUAAAAAGAUGUGCAGCUUGUGUACCAUAUUCUCAAAGACCUGUAGGGCUGGGGACUAAUCCCAGAGGUGACAGGCCAAAUGAUAUAUGGCAAAUGGAUGUUACACAUAUAAGGAAAACAUGUAUCAAUGUUGCAGUUGACACUUAUUCAGGUUUUGUAUCUGCAUCCUCUCAACGAGGGGAAGCUGCUUCACAUGUAAUAAAUCACCUAUUUCACUGUUUUGCCUCUCUGGGUAUCCCACACACCAUUAAGACUGAUAAUGGACCCUCAUAUAGCCCAAACAUAUUAAAACAGUUCUUAUAAGAAUUCUCUAUACAUCAUAUUUUUGGGAUUUACAACCCCACAGGACAGGCCAUUGUAGAAAAGACUAAUCAGAGCCUCAAGAGAUUUAUUAAAAACAAAAAGUAGGGAGAUGGAGGUGGGGUCACUCAGAAAGAUAAAGCAGUGUACACAAUAAAUUACUUAAAAUUUGGUUCAAGUGAUUUAAGUCCAGUUAUGAAAUGAUCUCUGGUAAACAGGGACAGAGAUUCCAUAAAAGAUAACACCUCUUCUUCCUCAAGGCCCCCUAAGAACGAGACCAUAGUAAUGAAAAAGGGUCCUGAAGGAUGGGAGGGAGCCUCUAGGAUUCUAAUGUGGGGACCAGGAUAUGCUUGUAUCUCCACAGGACAAAACCUUCAGCAGUGGAUCCCCACGAGACAUCUCAAAGUUGUCCAGAGAACAGAAAAGAAAAAAAGAGGCAAUUGUCCAACAGGAGGAGAACAUGGGCCCCUAAGACCACUAACAAGAUGCUUUCUAUAUAUAUGGGUUUGUGUUACACACAAUCAGGACAAACAGCAGAGGUCAAAAGGUGGGCUGGACCCACCAUGGCCUAGAUUGUCUCAUGGGGGUUGGGGUAUAUGUGACACAUGCUGGACAUACAGGGGACGCCCUGUCAUAAUGACACCCUCAAACGCACAGGAGGAUUGCAGGGGUGUGUCUACAUCAUCAGGCUGGCCCCUCACAAGCCUCCAUGGACCCAUUCUCGUCACUCAAGAACUGGGCUGGCAGUUGGCACAUGGAAAAACAUCGUGGGCCCAGGUUCUUGGACAAAUGCAUGAGAAUUGAAUACCAGUUCUGCACUAAAGCCUGUCAGGGAGGGAAAUAUGUGUUCGUGUGGAGAGACUCUGUAACUGUUACCAAGGAAACAUUAGGUUUUUACAAUGUUACUUGUUGGAAUUGUACAGUCAGUGAUUGCUUGGAUACUGAAAUUGAAAAUCAGGCUGUGUUUGUUUGAUUAACUAGAAAGGAUAAAUGAAGAAAGACAUUGUCAGCAUCCAGAGAAAUGAGAGAGCAAUGGUGUGUAUGUGUGUGUGUGUGUGUGUAGUGAUGGCUUUGGAUUCAUGCCUGACUGCAUUUAAGGGAGGCAGAGUUGCACAAUGUCAUCAUCCUCCCUCUGAAGUCAUUUACCACCAGCCAGUGACAGGACAGAGUCAGAGUGAUGGGCGAUGACUACACAUCAGCCUUCAUGGCCAGUGGAAUGAAUUUAUCUCCUCUGCCCCUUCCAUCAGGGGAAGUUUUUCCCUUCCCCCACAACUCACCCUAGGGUUGGAGACCCUUUGCUUGUCCUCAGCCUGGUUUAGCCCAUGUGGACACAGUUUGCCAGGGGGUGGUCCCUGUGCAUGCUCCAGCUCCUUGGAGUGGCAGAUGAGAAGUGGGGGAUCAGGUGGACACCAAAGGUGACAAGCAGCCCUGUCGAGGGCUUGGAAACCUUCACAUCAGAGUCCUCCCAGAAUACACUCUGUACUCCAGAUCUACAUACAUAUACAUGUAUACACACACACACACACACACACACACACACUUUUUUCUGUGUAAUAGAAUUCCUAGAGUGGGGCAUUGAGCAUAGGGAAGGAAAAAGAAUCACAUCCUAGUUUUCCUGUCUAUUUGAAAGGAAUAGCAAGAUGUGGGAUAAUAGAUUGAGUUUCAUAUGCUAUCAUCCUUUUUAUUGUACUGUUAUGGAAAUGCUUGUUUUAUUCCAUAAAUGGAAAAUAAAACUAAAUAAUGUGACUCUGUUCUCACAGUAACCUUUGAAAUUAGCUGAUAUCCCCAUUUGAGAGGUGAAGAAACUGAGGUACACAAUUUAAGUGACUUACCAAGGAUCACACAACUAAGAAUUCUCUGAGACUUGAUUUAAACUCAGGUACACCUGACUCUAUACUCAGGUCUCUCUCCACUGCAUGACCAGCUCUGCCUAACUUAUAGAUAAUGGAAACUUUGAAUCAAGUCCAUCCUUCUAUGGAGAAGGGGCCCCAAGACCAGAUUGUCUUAUUCUAAGUUUCCUGUUGAUCAGACUCAAGGCUUCUCUGGUCCAAUAACCUUUUUUAUGCAGUUUUUGUGAGGUUACAAGUGUCUGCCAGAAUGGGGUAUAACUGGAUGAGGUCAGGGAGUGAAGGGUUUGGCUCCUUCUCAGAACAAGUUGAAUGACAGGAUAAUGUGGUACACCCCAUUUUGGACUACUUCCAUUACAAAUACUAAUGGGUGAACAUGGACUCAUGUGUGAACAUAAUGAGGUGAAUCUCAAAAUGGAGCAGCUCUAGAUCCUCAGCCCUUUCUCUAAAGAGAACUAAAUUAUAAGCUUCUCUCCAUGCUUAGUCCUGAUUUUCCUGCUCAGGAGAUAUAUUCAACUGAAUUGAUGUCAUUAGUCAAAAACUUUAUUUCAUAAAAUCUCUAGCACUUAUAUUUCUUGUAUUGGGAUUUCUGGGAAACCCUUGUGUAUGAAAUAUUACUAAUUAAAAAUGACUUCUAGAGGGUAAUGGAAGUAUACCUUUACAAAUAAACUCUUUGGAUCUAGAUGCCAAAUGAUGAAUUAAACUACUUAAGAGUGAGGUUUAGCAACUCCAAUAUUUGAGAAUGUUUUGUUUCAACACAAAUAAUGAUACCUUUGGCCUUGGGAAAAGUACCAAAAAAAAAAAAAAAAAAAAA